rnacentral:lncRNA from 1 species
AAUCUCAUUGUUAUCUCUUAUAAUAAGCAUUAUGUGAGAAACAUUUAAAUAGAGUAACAAGAUAAAAUAAUUGUUAGAUCAUAUAUUUAACAAAAAUAUUUAAGUGCAAGUUUUAAUUGAAAAGUUUUAAAAUUAUAUGAUUAAAUAAACUAUAAAAGUGAAUAGAGAUUUAAUUGAAAGUUUUCAAGACUCAAGAUAUAAUUAUGUCUAAACUAAAAUAUAAGGACCUGAAAAUAAGCUGAGGGCUGAUGGACUUUAAGUUUAGGCAGUCCAGCCCAUAAAGAUUAAGGGCACAUGACCUUAGAAGGGGUUUUUUUCAAAGUCAGAUUCUUCAUUUGCUAAUUUUCCACUCUCUCUCUAAAACCCAUUUUCCCUAAAUAUUGCUCUGCCUUCUCUCUAAAAUACUACUAUGUUGAAUUGUUCAAUCUUUGGUUUGAAGGUGCCUAAGCGCUCGCGGCUUCGAGGGCUUCAUUCUAAACCGAUUACUUUCUCCGUCUCCUUCCCGUAAGUGGUUUUGCUAUUUCCUCCGCUAUUUUCGAAACCUAGGGCUUGGGGUUUUACUGAUUUCAUGCAAUUAGAACCUUUCCUUUUCUGAUUUCUAUUAUAUUCUAGCUCUAAGAGCUGUUUUCCAUCGCCUCUUUGGUGAGUUGUAGGGCGUUGUUGUGCUCCGCUGUGUGGGUACUGUCUUAGGACACUCUUAGCAAGUGGUACUGUUAAGCUUUCCAGGUAAGGGGAGCUAAUUAUUUUGCUUGAAAUUAUUUUAUAAAAUAUAUGCAUGUUGAAUUCUGAAUUUGGUGCUUUGAAUUGAACCUCUUUUAGUGUUUUAUGCAUGUUGAAUUAAAAAUGUGAUGUACUAUUGAGACUGUAAUGUUACUGUUUUAAGUAAUUGGUUUUGGUGUGUACUAUGCUACUUAAAUGAUUUAUCUGGGAUUGAUUUUAUGUGUCCUGUUUUGAUGGUUAUGAAUUGUUUCUGAAUGGGUUAUUGAUUGUGAUUGAUGAUGUUUUGGAAAAGGUCUUAAGUGAGAUUUAAUUAGCUUUGUUGGAUAGCAAUUGGAUACACAGGUACUGUUUUUGAUUAAUGUGAGAGGAAAUAAAAUAUAAAAAAAAAAGAAUUGGCAUUUGAGGUUUAGAGUAGUUUAGGUAACAUAAAUAAAUUAAUUAAAACUGGUUGAGAGCCUUUCUUUGUUGGUAGGAUAGAGGGGACUUAAAAACCUGAGUUGGCACAUCCCUGAUCAUAAAGCAGCCCUGGCCUGGUCCAGUCAGUUGUAACUAAUCAUAUGUGCUAGCACCGAAGGUGAGUUUGAUGCGUUCAGACAUCUAAACCCUCUCCAAUUGGGUAGUGAUGUGAGGUGGGGAACAAGUAUUUUGUAGUAAUGAAAAAUUUAGCAAGCAUUUUCAUAAUUAAGGGAACAUUGUAAGUUAUUUAGAGAUAAUAUGUAUCAUAAUAUAUUAUAUUAUUAAUGUAUAGAUUAUAUUUAUAUAUAUCUUAGUUUAAUAGAAUAUAAAUAUAUAUAUAUAUUUAUAAGAUACAAUACGUAACAUAUAUAUAUAUAUAUAUAUAUAUAUAUAUAUUGAUUUAAUAUAAUAUAAAUAUGGAUAUUUAUAAGAUACUGUACGUAUAUAUUAGUUUAAUAUAAUAUAAUUAUAUAAAAGAAAAAUUAAUAGGUAUGUAAGAUAUGUAUAAAGGAAAAUGGUGAUAGUUGGUGAUGUUCAUAAUAAUUUAUAAUAUUAUAAUAAAAUUAAAGGAAACAUGUUUUCAGUGUAUAUGAGUGUAGGCAUUGAAAAUAAAUUAUAAAGAUUCUGGUAUUGAUAAAUUAUGGAACUGUUUAUAAUUUGUGAUGAAUGGGUUAAUGUAUAUUAUUGAGAUUAUGUAUAUAUUGACUGUGACAAAAAGUAUAUGAUUACAAAGUGAUGAAAGUACGAUCCAAGUAGUAAACAAGUUCCAUCUGUUCAGAAUCUCUUGGUGAGAUUCUUAGUGUUUUAGAAUGGAAGUAGGAACUCAGUCUUGAGGGUCUUCUUGACGCUCCAAUGGUCUUUCUUCUCACGUAGAGAGGACUGAACCAUGUGGUGAGGAAUAACAUGAGGUCUUAGUUUUGGAGGCUUCCAUCAUGCUUCAAGGCGCGGAACAAGCUAACAUCGUGAGUGUGGCAGGGCGGGGGAGCCCAGGGCGGUGGAGCCCAAGGCGGUAGAGCCUAAGUAUCACAAGCCACCACGAGUGCAUGACCCGCCAUAGCUUGACUAUCAUUCUAAAGUCCAGACGAGUAAAGUCUAGUAUUUAACAUGAUAGGAUGAAUGUUUUAUCUUGUUUGCUUUAAAUUAAUAUCUUGUAUGUACAUGCUCUUAAUUGUAUGCUUUUUAUAUAAUUAGCUCACCCUUGCAAUUGUUUGUGUUUGUGCCAUGUUUGUGUUUGUUUCCCUUGCGAUGAUCAUCCACUUGGAUGGGAGCAGAUGGCAAGGAGAUACUUUGGAAACAAAUCUUGAUGGGGAUGACAGUGCUACAGUCUAGUUCUCUAGGCUUUAAUUCUCUUGUCCUAGGAUAUUUUGAAGAAACUUUAUUAUGUUCUAAGUUUUUAAUUCCUUGUAUUUUCAGGGAGAAACUUUAG